CAUCCAAGGUGCCCCGAGGCGGAGGAACAAAAGUGCAUAGCGAAAAAUAACUAUUUAGGCUGCCUCAGUAAAGGUUCUCAUGAAAUCGUCAGGGUGUGCCUUAGCUGGUCUACAAAAUGCAAGGAGUAUUUUCUAAGAUACUGCAGCAACGUUACGAGCACCUUGUUCUGCUACCAGAAAGGUCCUCUGUGCAGCUGCCUAUGCUGUCGGCACUCAGGAAAAGGCAAUGCUAUAGCUUGUAAAGGAAGAGCCGGAAUCCAAUAACUUUUUUGUCAUGGCUUCAGUGUUUUACGAAAGCUCAGGUCGCACCACCAUUAUUAAGAAACGGGUGCUACACGAACAAAAUUCUGGGCUUCGUCUACGAGUCAUUGCGGACAGUCACCACUACAAAUAAAGAUGCAUGUCAUAAUAAUUAAGAAAAAAAUAACAAUAUAUAAUAAAUUGCAAGUAAAGAUACAUAUUUUACUUUUCUACAUGAGCAUUAUAAAGGGCACGAAAGGUUUAUUGCAACUCAGUCAACUAAUUAAAGCAUAAAGUGAUUUGC